rnacentral:lncRNA from 1 species
CCAGCACAUCCACGGUGACGGUGGCUGUGGAGGUGGUGAGAGAGACCUCAAAAGGAGAGGAGUUGGGAAAUGUGAGCAAUUCUGCUUGGAUUCCAGAAACGGAGGCCUAAAAGGAAAGAAGAUGAGGAACAAGAUAAGACAAUUCAAGACGGAUACUUCAGGUCUAACAGUCCAACCUAGCCAGACAGCGUCCCCAGCCUUCUGUGGGCAGUGUACAGUUUGAAUUUAAUGACACAUUCUCUUAUCAAUGACAAAUUAUAUAUAUCCACCAAAAUGACCAAUCAAAACAAAAACCAAUGAGACCCUUUGCUAUAUCGUAAAGACUGCAUUCUCUUUUUAUCCUUCUUAGUGUCCAGAGCUCAAAUAAUCAUCAUGCAUACACAAGUAUUGGUUUCAGGGUUUGAUAUUAUAAUUUACAAGCUGUUUCAAGCCUACAUAAUCUCAUUUUUAUUUUUUUGAGACAAGAUCUGGCUCUAUCACUGAGGCUGGGGUACAGCGGCAAGAUCUUGUCUCACUGGAACCUCUGCCUCCCAGGCUCAAGCCAUCCCUCCCAUCUCAGCCUCCUGAGUAGCUGGGACUACAGGUGUGCACCACCAUGGCUGACUAAUUUUUGUAUUUUUAGUAGACGUAGGGCUUUGCCAUGUUACCCAG